GAUGAACGCUAGCUACAGGCUUAACACAUGCAAGUCGAGGGGAAACGACAUCGAAAGCUUGCUUUUGAUGGGCGUCGACCGGCGCACGGGUGAGUAACGCGUAUCCAACCUGCCCACCACUUGGGGAUAACCUUGCGAAAGUAAGACUAAUACCCAAUGAUAUCUCUAGAAGACAUCUGAAAGAGAUUAAAGAUUUAUCGGUGAUGGAUGGGGAUGCGUCUGAUUAGCUUGUUGGCGGGGUAACGGCCCACCAAGGCUACGAUCAGUAGGGGUUCUGAGAGGAAGGUCCCCCACAUUGGAACUGAGACACGGUCCAAACUCCUACGGGAGGCAGCAGUGAGGAAUAUUGGUCAAUGGACGGGAGUCUGAACCAGCCAAGUAGCGUGCAGGAUGACGGCCCUAUGGGUUGUAAACUGCUUUAUAAGGGAAUAAAGUGAGUCUCGUGAGACUUUUUGCAUGUACCUUAUGAAUAAGGACCGGCUAAUCCCGUGCCAGCCGCCGCAGUAA
rnacentral:rRNA from 1 species